GACGAACGCUGGCGGCGUGCUUAACACAUGCGAGUCGAACGGAAAGGCCCUGCUUUUGUGGGGUGCUCGAGUGGCGAACGGGUGAGUAACACGUGAGUAACCUGCCCUUGACUUUGGGAUAACUUCAGGAAACUGGGGCUAAUACCGGAUAGGAGCUCCUGCUGCAUGGUGGGGGUUGGAAAGUUUCGGCGGUUGGGGAUGGACUCGCGGCUUAUCAGCUUGUUGGUGGGGUAGUGGCUUACCAAGGCUUUGACGGGUAGCCGGCCUGAGAGGGCGACCGGCCACAUUGGGACUGAGAUACGGCCCAGACUCCUACGGGAGGCAGCAGUGGGGAAUAUUGCGCAAUGGGCGGAAGCCUGAUGCAGCAACGCCGCGUGCGGGAUGACGGCCUUCGGGUUGUAAACCGCUUUCGCCUGUGACGAAGCGUGAGUGACGGUAAUGGGUAAAGAAGCACCGGCUAACUACGUG
rnacentral:rRNA from 1 species